rnacentral:rRNA from 1 species
UACGGGGGGGGCAAGCGUUGUUCGGAAUUACUGGGCGUAAAGGGCUCGUAGGCGGCCAACUAAGUCAGACGUGAAAUCCCUCGGCUUAACCGGGGAACGGCCUCUGAUACUGGAUGGCUUGAGUUCGGGAGAGGGAUGCGGAAUUCCAGGUGUAGCGGUGAAAUGCGUAGAUAUCUGGAGGAACACCGGUGGCGAAGGCGGGUUGCUGGGCCGACACUGACGCUGAGGCGCGAAAGCCAGGGGAGCGAACGGG